AUUGAACGCUGGCGGCAGGCUUAACACAUGCAAGUCGAGCGGAGGGAGUUGCUUCGGUAACUAACCUAGCGGCGGACGGGUGAGUAAUGCUUAGGAAUCUGCCUAUUAAUGGGGGACAACAUCUCGAAAGGGAUGCUAAUACCGCAUACGCCCUACGGGGGAAAGCAGGGGAUCUUCGGACCUUGCGUUAAUAGAUGAGCCUAAGUCGGAUUAGCUAGUUGGUGGGGUAAAGGCCUACCAAGGCGACGAUCUGUAGCGGGUCUGAGAGGAUGAUCCGCCACACUGGGACUGAGACACGGCCCAGCCUCCUACGGGAGGCAGCAGUGGGGAAUAUUGGACAAUGGGGGGAACCCUGAUCCAGCCAUGCCGCGUGUGUGAAGAAGGCCUUAUGGUUGUAAAGCACUUUAAGCGAGGGGGAGGCUUCUUUGGUUAAUACCCAAAGUAAGUGGACGUUACUCGCAGAAUAAGCACCGGCUAACUCUGUGCCAGCCGCCGCAGUAACAC
rnacentral:rRNA from 1 species